rnacentral:miRNA from 1 species
UCUGGCUGUUGUGGUGUGCAAA